rnacentral:misc_RNA from 1 species
GAUGAAGAACGUAGCGAAAUGCGAUAAGUAAUGUGAAUUGCAGAAUUCAGUGAAUCAUCGAAUCUUUGAACGCACAUUGCGCCCCUUGGUAUUCCGAGGGGCAUGCCUGUUCGAGCGUCAUUAUAACCCUCAAGCUCAGCUUGGUGUUGGGGCCUGCUGCAGUGGCAGCCCUUAAAAUCAGUGGCGGCGCCAUCUGGCUCUAAGCGUAGUAAUUCUUCUCGCUAUGGAGUCCUGGUGGAUGCUUGCCAUCAACCCCCAAUUUUUCUAUGGUUGACCUCGGAUCAGGUAGGGAUACCCGCUGAACUUAAGCAUAUCAAUAAGCGGAGA